rnacentral:lncRNA from 1 species
CUUGAGUCUAUGCAGUUUUCAAUUCAUUAAGGUCAGUCCAAGAAUAUUUGAUCUAACUGCCCAUCCAGGUAAGCUCUGUGUGUGUGUGUGUGUGUGUGUGUGUGUAUGCAUGCUCACUGAGGCUUGGUGAGACUUUAAAUAUUGUUAAUUCUUUUUUUAAAAAAUUUUGUAUUAGAGUAUAGUUGAUUUACAAAGUUGCUUUAAUUUCAGGUGUACGCAAAGUAGAUCAGUUGUACAUAUACAUAUAUCCAUUGUUUUUCAGAUUCUUUUCCCAUAUGGGUUAUUAAAGAAUAAUGAAUAGAGUUCCCUGUGCUAUACAGUAGGUCCUUUUUAGUUAUCUAUUUUAUGUACAGUAGUGUGAGCUUUGUUAAUUCUGAUUGUGAAGCAAGGUGAUCACUGACAUGUUCUUACAGGGGACAGUUUUCCAGUUUUGAAGAGACCUGUUGGGAUAAACACAUUCAAGAUAAUAGCGCUGGGACAGGACAAAAGCCACUUCAUUGUAAAAAUGCCUUCAACCUGAAACAUUCUGAUGGACCUGUGCACGAACAAUGGACACACACUGCCUAAUGUGGGAUGGAAGAGUAGCUGGUGGACCGCGGCAUUCUCUGGAUUCAUGGUAAGAAAUUCACCCUCCCUCCGAGAAGUCCAUCAGUUAAUAUUAACAAGCAGAAAGAGCAAGAACCACUUGGCAGGAAGCUCUGAAUUUCCCCCAGACUCUGAGUCAAGAGGUCAUCAAGGAAGGAGUCUGGCUGUAAAGUACACCUAUCUUCCUGUGAUGAGAGUGACGACCGGGGUGACUGGAAUCAGAGUGUAGCCUGCCCUCCUUUGGCAAACAAACACCCACUCUAGUAAGUGCCUUUUAAUGUGCAUCGAGGCUGUGUCUAGGAAAAGGAUGCACACUUGGCAAGUACAGAGCUGUAAGGGGAUCACUUUGACAUGCCGAUAAAGCUUAUUGGUUUACUUUGGACUUGGCUUUAUCAUUUACUGAAGGAUAUUAUUAGUGUGGAGAUGAUAGCCGUUUUCGGACUUCUCGAACAAAAGCCAGUGAAAUGCAUAUGAACAAGAGGUCUGUUAUGGAGAAUUCUACCCUGUUUGUUCAGUGACUUUGGGAUCCUAAUCAUGCAACUUAACAGAGAUAAGACUCAGAGCAGAGAAAGAGAGCCCACCCAGUUUGGGGCCCCCAGGAAGAUGAAAGUCAGUCGUGUUAAAAAUGGAAGCCCAUCCAACUCUGAGCAUGUGUGUCGUUUUCUCUUAUUGCAAAUAUGAUAUUAUAAAAAUAGGUUUGCUCUUUGGAGCCAGAUGGCACGCAAUACGUCUGAAGCUAAAUCCAGUCUUGUGACAGUGGUCAUCGCCAGCGAGGAACCACUUGGUCUGUGACGCCAAACUAUUCGGUUCUUUGUGAGUCUUUUCCAUCAAGCAAGCUCUUGGGUACUUCUCUGAGUGUAAAGAAACAUACAUGCCCCUUGAUGACUGUGGGACUCUUGUUUUGCGAGGUAUCAUUUUGUUUGUUCUGUGUUUCAUCUACCUCACUCUUCUUUAGAAAAAAUAAUGAAGAUCACAUAAAUAAUAACCUUGGUACUUAUCAUCAACUAGCUUGUUGCUUCACAAUCUGAUUUCAGUGCUUACUUUUCAAUGAUUUCAUUAUUGAUUGAGGUAUCCAUUAAUUCAGCAAAGUCUUCCCUUACAUACAAACCAAGAUUGUAGGCGCUCAAGUCAAAUGAUAUAAGUUGGGUUCAUCAACACACAGGUUUUAAAAACCAUGUCAUCUUGGGAAACUCUUUACAUUUUUCUCAGUUCUAGCUUCUAUGGCUUAUUUACAUUGAAGAUAAUCCUCCUAAUUGUACCAUUUAUAAAAGUGAUUUGUAAACUGUAAAGUACGAUGCAAAUACUUUUGAUUCUCAGAGGUUAGGACUGGAAUGUUAUAUAAGUUAAAUAUAAGCAUAUUUUAAGCAUCUAUUGCAUGCUCAGAAAUACGUGAGGUGUUUUGUAGAUAAAAGGACUAAAUUGACAGAGUUUCUAUACUCAAGAAAGUUUGAGUCUAUGAGAAGAAAAUAAUUUAAUCAUGGAAAAGACACAAAUUUAGCCACUGAGUUGUCUGAAAAUUUUCUAUAAAGUAAUCUGUUUGCCAGGCAAGGCCAUUAACAUUGUGAUUCUCUGUGUUCCUUGGUCUGGUUUUGCAAUAACCUAUGUAACCAGCAAUAGCUCUUAUUUUAAGAUAAGCUUCCUCUAAACAUAAUAAAUUAUUCACUUUUAUUUAAUAGUGAAUUAAA